GGAGAUAUAGCUCAGCAGGUAGAGCAGUCCCUUCAUACGGGAUAGGUCAGAGGUUCGAUUCCUCUUAUCUCCACCA
rnacentral:tRNA from 1 species